AAAUUGAAGAGUUUGAUCAUGGCUCAGAUUGAACGCUGGCGGCAGGCCUAACACAUGCAAGUCGAGCGGUAGCACAGAGAGCUUGCUCUCGGGUGACGAGCGGCGGACGGGUGAGUAAUGUCUGGGAAACUGCCUGAUGGAGGGGGAUAACUACUGGAAACGGUAGCUAAUACCGCAUAACGUCGCAAGACCAAAGUGGGGGACCUUCGGGCCUCAUGCCAUCAGAUGUGCCCAGAUGGGAUUAGCUAGUAGGUGGGGUAACGGCUCACCUAGGCGACGAUCCCUAGCUGGUCU
rnacentral:rRNA from 1 species